GUGAGAGAGUGUGUGUGUGUCCUGGAACUGCAGUGGUCUCAGGGCCUUGAGUUGGACAGAACCCUGUUAAAUGCCUUUGCUCAUCUGUGUGCACAGGUCCAACGCGAUGACGACAUACCUCGCUCUAAUCUCGUGAGAGCGAGACGGCUGAAGGUUCCAGAUCGUGCGACCGCGCGUGCGAAGAGCUGGCGAGAGGCGAGGAUGACGGCAGAUCUAAAACUUCACUGGCUAGUGUCUCCGCCAUCAAAUAUGUACCCACAAAUGGAAACACUGUCCGGCUAGCAGGUUCUGUGCUCAGCUCCUCGCUCGGUACCAAGGCAAGACACGGAUCCUCUCCAGCCAUCCUCGGGGCUUCGGGGAUCAGUAGUUGUCCCCGAACAGCUACUUUCUGCACAUUUCCCACCCCGCCUUCACAUGUGAGCAGGGUGUGAGCGUGCAAGGGCCAAUCAGGCGAACUAAUUAUUCAGCGAUUACAAAAACUAGGACCGGUUUUGCCGGGUUUGGUUUCAAGUGCCAGGAGAGAUUAUUAGGAGUUUCUGGAGUUUUUGGCACACCGAAACAAUAAUUGAAAAAUCCUCUUAGUUUUUUAAUUUUAUUUUUUUAAUGUAUUCUGUCGCAAGAUAAUGUCAAAUUAUUUUCCAUGUUUUUAUUUAUUUAUCUA
ensembl:lncRNA